GCUUUGAUUCAUAGAGCAAAAAAAAGUUUAAGUGGUCCGCCGAGACCCUCAGUGAUUUUCAAGUGGUCCACGGAAAAAAAAGUUUGAGAACCACUGCUCUAGGCUUAGAUCACACUUCAGUGUUUACACUUCU